rnacentral:rRNA from 1 species
GAUGAACCUCUUUCGGGAGGGGAUUAGUGGCGAACGGGUGAGUAACACGUGGGCAAUCUGCCCUGCACUCUGGGACAAGCCCUGGAAACGGGGUCUAAUACCGGAUAUGACCACUUGGGGCAUCUCAUGGUGGUGGAAAGCUCCGGCGGUGCAGGAUGAGCCCGCGGCCUAUCAGCUUGUUGGUGGGGUGAUGGCCUACCAAGGCGACGACGGGUAGCCGGCCUGAGAGGGCGACCGGCCACACUGGGACUGAGACACGGCCCAGACUCCUACGGGAGGCAGCAGUGGGGAAUAUUGCACAAUGGGCGCAAGCCUGAUGCAGCGACGCCGCGUGAGGGAUGACGGCCUUCGGGUUGUAAACCUCUUUCAGCAGGGAAGAAGCGUGAGUGACGGUACCUGCAGAAGAAGCACCGGCUAACUACGUGCCAGCAGCCGCGGUAAUACGUAGGGUGCGAGCGUUGUCCGGAAUUAUUGGGCGUAAAGAGCUCGUAGGCGGCUUGUCGCGUCGGAUGUGAAAGCCCGGGGCUUAACCCCGGGUCUGCAUUCGAUACGGGCAGGCUGGAGUUCGGCAGGGGAGAUCGGAAUUCCUGGUGUAGCGGUGAAAUGCGCAGAUAUCAGGAGGAACACCGGUGGCGAAGGCGGAUCUCUGGGCCGAUACUGACGCUGAGGAGCGAAAGCGUGGGGAGCGAACAGGAUUAGAUACCCUGGUAGUCCACGCCGUAAACGUUGGGCACUAGGUGUGGG